rnacentral:piRNA from 1 species
UGCCAAGACUUGAUAAACGCAUUCAGAAAAU